GGCUUAGAGUUUGAUCAUGGCUCAGGACGAACGCUGGCGGCGCGCCUAACACAUGCAAGUCGAACGGAAUGCGGGGAGGAUUUAUCUUUUCUGUGUUUAGUGGCGAACGGGUGAGUAACGCGUGAGGAACCUGCCUCAAAGAGGGGGACAACAGUUGGAAACGACUGCUAAUACCGCAUAAGCCCACGGGGCCGCAUGGCCCUGAGGGAAAAGGAGCAAUCCGCUUUGAGAUGGCCUCGCGUCCGAUUAGCUGGUUGGUGAGGUAACGGCCCACCAAGGCGACGAUCGGUAGCCGGACUGAGAGGUUGAACGGCCACAUUGGGACUGAGACACGGCCCAGACUCCUACGGGAGGCAGCAGUGGGGAAUAUUGCACAAUGGGGGAAACCCUGAUGCAGCGACGCCGCGUGGAGGAAGAAGGUCUUCGGAUUGUAAACUCCUGUUGUUGGGGAAAAGAAGGAUGGUACCCAACAAGGAAGUGACGGCUAACUACGUGCCAGCAGCCGCGGUAAAACGUAGGUCACGAGCGUUGUCCGGAAUUACUGGGUGUAAAGGGAGCGCAGGCGGGUAUGCAAGUUGGGAGUGAAAUGCAUGGGCUCAACCCAUGAACUGCUCUCAAAACUGUGUAUCUUGAGUAGUGCAGAGGUAGGCGGAAUUCCCGGUGUAGCGGUGGAAUGCGUAGAUAUCGGGAGGAACACCAGUGGCGAAGGCGGCCUACUGGGCACCAACUGACGCUGAGGCUCGAAAGUGUGGGUAGCAAACAGGAUUAGAUACCCUGGUAGUCCACACCGUAAACGAUGAUCACUAGGUGUUGGAGGAUAGACCCCUUCAGUGCCGCAGUUAACACAAUAA
rnacentral:rRNA from 1 species